GAUGAACGCUGGCGGCGUGCCUAAUACAUGCAAGUCGAGCGAACAGAUGAGGAGCUUGCUCCUCUGACGUUAGCGGCGGACGGGUGAGUAACACGUGGAUAUCCUACCUAUAAGACUGGGAUAACUUCGGGAAACCGGAGCUAAUACCGGAUAAUAUAUUGAACCGCAUGGUUCAAUAGUGAAAGACGGUUUUGCUGUCACUUAUAGAUGGAUCCGCGCCGCAUUAGCUAGUUGGUAAGGUAACGGCUUACCAAGGCAACGAUGCGUAGCCGACCUGAGAGGGUGGUUGGCUACACUGGAACUGAGCCACGGUCCAGAUUCCUCCGUGCGGCAGCAGUAGGUAAUGUUCGGCAAUGGUCGAAUGCCUGUCGGAGGCACUCCGCGUGAGUGAUGAAGGUCUUCGGAUUGUAUAUCUCUUAUAUUAGGGAGGAUGGAAUGUGUAAGAAACUGUGAACAUCUUGACGGUACCUUAUCAAAAAGCCACGGCUAACUCCGUG
rnacentral:rRNA from 1 species